rnacentral:rRNA from 1 species
CAUUCACGGAGAGUUUGAUCCUGGCUCAGGACGAACGCUGGCGGCGUGCUUAACACAUGCAAGUCGAACGAUGAACCACCUUCGGGUGGGGAUUAGUGGCGAACGGGUGAGUAACACGUGGGCAAUCUGCCCUUCACUCUGGGACAAGCCCUGGAAACGGGGUCUAAUACCGGAUACUGACCUGCCAAGGCAUCUUGGCGGGUCGAAAGCUCCGGCGGUGAAGGAUGAGCCCGCGGCCUAUCAGCUUGUUGGUGAGGUAAUGGCUCACCAAGGCGACGACGGGUAGCCGGCCUGAGAGGGCGACCGGCCACACUGGGACUG